UUUGGGAGAAAAGCCGAGCAGAUGCUGAAA
rnacentral:piRNA from 1 species